UACGUAGGAGGCAAGCGUUGUCCGGAAUUACUGGGCGUAAAGCGCGUGUAGGUGGUGGGACAAGUCUGCUGUGAAAGCGCCUGGCUUAACCGGGCGAGGUCGGCGGAAACUGUCCGACUCGAGGACGUAGAGGGGGGUGGAAUUCCCGGUGUAGUGGUGAAAUGCGUAGAGAUCGGGAGGAACACCUGUGGCGAAGGCGGCCCCCUGGGCCGGCCCUGACACUGAGACGCGAAGGCGUGGGGAGCGAACGGGG
rnacentral:rRNA from 1 species